rnacentral:rRNA from 1 species
UCCUACGGGGGGCAGCAGUAGGGAAUAUUGCUCAAUGGGGGAAACCCUGAAGCAGCAACGCCGCGUGGAGGAUGAAGGUUUUCGGAUUGUAAACUCCUUUUGUUAGAGAAGAUAAUGACGGUAUCUAACGAAUAAGCACCGGCUAACUCCGUGCCAGCAGCCGCGGUAAUACGGAGGGUGCAAGCGUUACUCGGAAUCACUGGGCGUAAAGGGCGUGUAGGCGGGAGAGCAAGUCAGACGUGAAAUUCCAGGGCUCAACCCUGGAACUGCGUUUGAAACUGUUCUUCUUGAGUGAUGGAGAGGCA